CCUACGGGAGGCAGCAGUGGGGAAUAUUGGACAAUGGGGGAAACCCUGAUCCAGCAAUGCCGCGUGGGUGAUGAAGGCCUUCGGGUUGUAAAGCCCUUUUGGCGGGGACGAUGAUGACGGUACCCGCAGAAGAAGCCCCGGCUAACUUCGUGCCAGCAGCCGCGGUAAUACGAAGGGGGCUAGCGUUGUUCGGAAUUACUGGGCGUAAAGGGCGCGUAGGCGGCCUUGAUAGUUGGGCGUGAAAGGCCUGGGCUCAACCCGGGAACUGCGUUCAAUACUGUAAGGCUAGAGUGUGGGAGAGGUUGGUGGAAUUCCCAGUGUAGAGGUGAAAUUCGUAGAUAUUGGGAAGAACACCGGUGGCGAAGGCGGCCAACUGGACCACAACUGACGCUGAGGCGCGAAAGCGUGGGGAGCAAACAGGAUUAGAUACCCUGGUAGUCCACGCUGUAAACUAUGUGUGCUUGACGUCGGGGGGCCUAGCCCUUCGGUGUCGGAGCUAACGCGGUAAGCACACCGCCUGGGGAGUACGGUCGCAAGAUUAAAACUCAAAGGAAUUGACGG
rnacentral:rRNA from 1 species